GAUGAACGCUGGCGGCGUGCCUAUACCUGCAAGUCGAGCGAACGGACGAGAAGCUUGCUUCUCUGAUGUUAGCGGCGGACGGGUGAGUAACACGUGGAUAACCUACCUAUAAGACUGGGAUAACUUCGGGAAACCGUAGCUAAUACCGGAUAAUAUUUUGAACCGCAUGGUUUAAAAGUGAAAGUCGGUCUUGCUGUCACUUAUAGAUUGAUCCGCGCUGCAUUAGCUAGUUGGUAAGGUAACGGCUUACCAAGGCAACGAUGCAUAGCCGGCCUGAGAGGGUGAUCGGCCACACUGGAACUGACACACGGUCCAGACUCGUACGGGAGGCAGCAGUAGGGAAUCUGCCGGAAUGGGCGAAAGCCUGACGGAGCAACGCCGCGUGAGUGAUGAAGGUCUUCGGAUCGUAAAACUCUGUUAGUAGGGAAGAACAUAUGUGUAAGUAACUGUGCACAUCUUGACGGUACCUAAUCAGAAAGCCACGGCUAACUACGUG
rnacentral:rRNA from 1 species